rnacentral:rRNA from 1 species
GUGGGGAAUAUUCCGCAAUGGACGAAAGUCUGACGGAGCAACGCCGCGUGAGUGAUGAAGGUUUUCGGACUGUAAAGCUCUGUUGUUUAGGACGAAAGUGCCUGUUGCGAACAGUUACAGGUAUUGACGGUACUGAACGAGGAAGCCACGGCUAACUACGUGCCAGCAGCCGCGGUAAUACGUAGGUGGCAAGCGUUGUCCGGAAGUAUUGGGCGUAAAGAGCAUGUAGGCGGGAAUCUAAGUCUGUUGUGAAAAUGCGGGGCUCAACCCCGUAUUGCGAUGGAAACUGGGUUUCUUGAGUGCAGGAGAGGAAAGGGGAAUUCCCAGUGUAGCGGUGAAAUGCGUAGAUAUUGGGAGGAACACCAGUGGCGAAGGCGCCUUUCUGGACUGUGUCUGACGCUGAGAUGCGAAAGCCAGGGUAGCGAACGGGAUUAGAUACCCCAGUAGUCC